GAUGAACGCUGGCGGCGUGCCUAAUACAUGCAAGUCUAGCGAACGGACGAGAAGCUUGCUUCUCUGAUGUUAGCGGCGGACGGGUGAGUAACACGUGGAUAACCUACCUAUAAGACUGGGAUAACUUCGGGAAACCGGAGCUAAUACCGGAUGAUAUUUUGAACCGCAUGGUUCAAAAGUGAAAGACGGUCUUGCUGUCACUUAUAGAUGGAUCCGCGCUGCAUUAGCUAGUUGGUAAGGUAACGGCUUACCAAGGCAACGAUGCAUAGCCGACCUGAGAGGGGGAUCGGCCACACUGGAACUGAGACACGGUCCAGACUCCUACGGGAGGCAGCAGUAGGGAAUCUUACGCAAUGGGCGAAAGCCUGACGGAGCAACGCCGCGUGAGAGAUGAAGGUCUUCGGAUCGUAAAACUCUGUUAUUAGGGAAGAACAUAUGUGUAAGUAACUGUGCACAUCGUGACGGUACCUAAUCAGAAAGCCACGGCUAACUACGUG
rnacentral:rRNA from 1 species